AGGAAACGGGCCACACUAUCUCGUAAUAUAGCAUUUUCAUUAUCGUGAAACUAUAGGACUAUAAAUGCAAGAUGUAGUUUAGCGUUGGCUGGACGCGGGAUUGUCAUUCAAAUAAAGCCUUCAUUAUUUUAAACAUUCGAGCCCGACAAGGACUCACUUCUUCUCAUUGGAUGCAUUAUGAAUAUUGUGGCACAACCGUAUUAACUUGAUGAAUAUCAAAGCCAUCAAAGUGCGCAAUCAAAUUGCUGAGCCACAUCUUCACUGAAGGCUGAAGCUGAGAUGCAUGUCAGAAUCCUAUGUGACAGAGUCCAGCAAGCAACAUUUGGUUGCCAAAACAGUCAAUAAAUUGUUUGAUGUACUCAUGCAAUAUCAAGUUUGGCGAGGACAGGGUAAAAAAGUCACAAUCACACCAAGAAUACCAAGUGAUCAUGGAUGCUUUACAUAGGCAGAAAUAUGAAGAAAGAAAAAUGGAGGAAACAUGAAGAGAUGUAAUAAACACCACAGUGAUAAAACAGAACAGUAACAAAACAAUACUUUGAUAUAAAGUUUUUGCAUGCCCUUAAUGUAACCAAACGUUAAUAAAGUUUUUUUACUGCAACAGAGUGUAUCUAUGUUUUUUCCCUAAUCAAUCUAGAUCUUGCCAUGGUUUUGCAGGAUCUUGCC